AUACGUAGGUGGCAAGCGUUGUCCGGAAUUAUUGGGCGUAAAGCGCAUGUAGGCGGUAAUUUAAGUCUGUCGUGAAACUGCGGGGCUCAGCCCCGUAUGGCGAUGGGAACUGGGUUACUUGAGUGCAGGAGAGGAAAGGGGAACUCCCAGUGUAGCGGUGAAAUGCGUAGAUAUUGGGAAGAACACCGGUGGCGAAGGGGCCUUUCUGGACUGGUUCUGACGCUGAGAUGCGAAAGCCAGGGUAGCGAACGGGAUUAGAUACCCCGGUAGUCCUGGCCGUAAACGAUGGGUACUAGGUGUGGGAGGUAUCGACCCCUUCCGGGCCGGAGUUAACGCAAUAAGUACCCCGCCUGGGGAGUACGGCCGCAAGGCUUAAACUCAAAGGAAUUGACGGGG
rnacentral:rRNA from 1 species